UGUGAUGGGGAGCGAAAUUUAGUAGCGAAGUAGCUGAUUUCACACUGUCAAGAAAAGUCUCUAUCGAGGGUAAAGGUACCCGUACCGCAAACCGACACAGGUGGGUGAGGAGAGUAUCCUAAGGCCAGCGAGAGAACUGUUGUUAAGGAACUCGGCAAAAUGACCCCGUAACUUAGGGAUAAGGGGUGCCACCAUCAGGUGGCCGCAGAGAAUAGGCCCAAGCGACUGUUUAC
rnacentral:rRNA from 1 species